CAGCAGCCACGGUAAUACAGAGGGUGCGAGCGUUAAUCGGAUUUACUGGGCGUAAAGCGUGCGUAGGCGGCUUCUUAAGUCGGAUGUGAAAUCCCUGAGCUUAACUUAGGAAUUGCAUUCGAUACUGGGAAGCUAGAGUAUGGGAGAGGAUGGUAGAAUUCCAGGUGUAGCGGUGAAAUGCGUAGAGAUCUGGAGGAAUACCGAUGGCGAAGGCGGCCAACUGGACAGAUACUGACGCUGAGACUCGAAAGCGUGGGGAGCAAACAGGAUUAGAUACCCGCGUAGUCCCUGUCUCUUAUAC
rnacentral:rRNA from 1 species